rnacentral:lncRNA from 1 species
AUGGUUGGCGCAUACUCUGGUGUGAAGGUGGGACUCCGCGAAGACGUCGCACAGUACCUGGAAUUGUGUAUUGUGCACAACCUUGUGCUGAGACAACGGAAAACCGCCAUCUUAUUGCUCACUCAAUGCCUCCAUAACACCAAUUUUUCACUCCCGGGCUUUGCAGCAGCCCGGUGUACUUUCCAUAAUACGCCUAUUACACAGGCAUCCUCACUAGCCAUCGCUUACACAAUUACCCGUGUGAUUUUCUCCAUCCCGGCGUGGUUGCCAUCGUCUUCGGUCCCCACCCAGUAUAACUUCGGGCGCCUGCAUCACGGGUGCCCUAAAAAAAUAGGAGACGCGUUCCCCUCCUCCCAGGUUUCUGGUUUCUCCACCCAGUCUCCCCACCGUCCUCCACUCCUCGCACCCCAGCCCUUCCGGCCUCCACCCAGACCGGGGAGAAGCGGGCCUGACAUUCCAGGUAGUUACAGAAAACUUAUUAUCCUGAUGCUGAGAAGCAAACACUUUAAGAGGAUAUCGACGGGAUAAUAUUCACUGGAGAAAUAAUUCCUUACUUUUAAAGCCUCCAUCUUGGCCAGUUACCUUAGCCGAACUUUGGAUAAUGGUAAUGUGUGGUUUGUUUUGGGCUAAGAGCUACGAGUCUGUGUUGUUAAUGACUGACACGCAGCGACCAUGUGUGUCAAAGCUGGGUUAACUAGAGAGGAAAAGCUGUGUGAGAAUAACCUGAUUGUGCCAAGAGGUCAUAUUUUAAACAUACAGUCAACCCUCUGGAACCGCAAUUUCCGCAUCUGCAAAGUCAACCGACCAGAGUUUGUGGAUUCAGAUAUCCGCUCUACUAGGCCAUUUUAUGUAAAGGGCUUGAGCAUCCUUG